UCCCUGGUGGCUUAGUGGUAAAGAAUCUGCCUGCAAUGCAGGAGACCGGGAUUCGAUCUCUAGGUUGGGAA
rnacentral:tRNA from 1 species